UACGUAGGGUGCGAGCGUUAAUCGGAAUUACUGGGCGUAAAGCGUGCGCAGGCGGUUCGUUGUGUCGGCGGUGAAAGCCCCGGGCUCAACCUGGGAAUGGCCGUUGAAACUGGCGAACUGGAGUGUGGCAGAGGGGGGUGGAAUUCCGCGUGUAGCAGUGAAAUGCGUAGAGAUGCGGAGGAACACCGAUGGCGAAGGCAGCCCCCUGGGCUGGCACUGACGCUCAGGCACGAAAGCGUGGGGAGCAAACAGG
rnacentral:rRNA from 1 species